rnacentral:lncRNA from 1 species
AUUCAUACUCCGAGAAUUCCGGAUUCGUCGGCGUUGCUUCUCUAUUCGACAUCACGUUAGAUUCGUCGAGUUUCACCGCACCAAUGAUAGACUUUAGAUCUCUCUUCUCUCUGAAUAUACUCCUUUAUUGAAUUAAGAAAGCUUGGUACAGAAUCAAUUACAAAUUGUAUCCAAGAACAAGGAUCUCAUUUCGAUCCAUCCAAGCUCAUAUCGCUGGAUUCCAGAUUCAAGAAUACAAAUUGCAUAAAGAGAUUACAACGUUCACUUUCUUUAUUUAUAUUUUUGACUUUCCCUCUUCCAGUCAAUAACCGUCAAACCUUCUUUCUGCACUAAAGUCUUUCCUCUCACUCAGCUCGGUCCAGCUCAGCUGCCAGCUCAUCAUCGUUCAAGACUUUGUUAUCCUCCUCACUCUGUUUCUCUGUUGUUAACUCCUUCUUCUUCUUUCUAUAAUAAGCAUUAUGAAGCUUCUUAGUAGAGCAUCAAACAAAAUCAGGCCAAAGAUCAGGCCCUGCACUUAACAAUUAGAAAGCUUGCAAAGUCUUAUAUCCCGCAAUCGAGUAUCCUUCAACAGAUAAGAAAUUAUUGUUUUGCAAAUGGUAAAACCUAAAACAAUAUAUAAACUAAACUGAAAAGCUGUUGUAAUUUCCAUGUCGAAUCAAACAAAACCAACACAAAAAAAAAAGAAUUGAAAGGAAAAAAAGAUGCCUAACAAAAAAUGUAAACAUCGACUCAACCCAUAAGUGUUGACAUUCUUCACUCUCUCUCCUUUGUUCAUGUUUGUUUUCUUUCUCUCUUUCUCUCUUCACUCUUGCUCUUUUGUUUCUCUUUUAUCUCCCUCUCUUUCUCUCUAGUUCUUGCUCUGUUUCACUCAUUGUUAUUGUUUGCAUUUUCUAAGUGAAAACAAGAAGAAGCUUAGAGAGAUAAACUUAAAGAACUACAUUUUGUUAUUUUAUCAAUCG